rnacentral:rRNA from 1 species
AUUGAACGCUGGCGGCAUGCUUUACACAUGCAAGUCGAACGGUAACAGGCCUUCGGGUGCUGACGCGUGGCGAACGGGUGAGUAAUACAUCGGAACGUGCCCUGCCGUGGGGGAUAACGCAGCGAAAGCUUUGCUAAUAUCGCAUAUGAUCUGAGGAUGAGAGCGUGGGAGCUGGUGGCAAUGUUUGGCCUGUCGGGCCUGUAGCCGCCGAUGUUCGAGUUGGUAGUUGGGGGGUUAAAGCCCUACCAAUCCGACGAUCUGCAGCCGGUGUGAGAGGACGAUAAGCGACACGGGAACUGAGACACGGCCCAGACGCCUACGGGAGGCAGCAGUGGGGAAUUGUGGACAAUGGGCGGAAGCCUGAUCCAGCGAUGCCGCGUGCGGGAAGAAGGCCUUCGGGUUGUAAAGCGCUUUUGUGCGGAACGAAAAGCAUCUGGCUAAUACCUAGGGGUCAUGACGGUACCGUAAGAAUAAGCACCGGCUAACUACGUG